GGAUUGUAGCGGAAAUCCUUUUUUGAGACACGAAAAAAAGAUUGCAGCGGAAAGCCCGACC
rnacentral:sRNA from 1 species